rnacentral:rRNA from 1 species
AGUGAACGCUGGCGGCAUGCCUAACACAUGCAAGUCGAACGGCAGCACAGUAAGAGCUUGCUCUUACGGGUGGCGAGUGGCGGACGGGUGAGGAAUGCAUCGGAAUCUACUUUUUCGGGGGUGAUAACGUAGGGAAACUUAUGCUAAUACCGCAUAUGACCUACGGGGGAGAGCAGGGGAUCGACGGACUUUUCGCGAUUGUAAGAGCCGAUGUCGGAUUAGAUAGUUGGCGGGGUAAAGGGCCAGCAAGGCGACGAUCCGUAGCGUGUCUGAGAGGAUGGUCCGCCACACUGGAUCUGAGGCACGGUCCAGACUCCGACGGGGGGCAGCAGUGGGGAAUCUUGCGCGAUGGGCGAGAGCCUGAUCCAGCAAAACCGCGUGAGGGAUGAAGGCCUUCGGGUUGUAGAGCCCUGUUGUUGGGAAAGAAGUGCAGCGGGUUUAUCCGCGGCUGUUAUGACGGUACCCGAAGAAUAAGCUCCGGCUAACUUCGUG